CUGAGAUCAACUGGUAAACAGUAUGACUAUGAGUCAAUCAUUUUACCCCAUAAAUAGUAAACAGCCCAAGAGCCUUUUGAGCUUUCCUGCAUAGGAGUGGGCUGUGUGACAGGACCUCCCCUUGAGUAGGAACACCUCUCAAGCAAGCUGAGACUUGCUUGCUGUGACUGAUCCUUGAUGGGUGCCUAGAAUGACUGAACUUUUAGCAGUCAGCCUGGACUCAGAAGAGGAGAAAGACAGCUGCAUUUCAAGAUGCAAACAUGGCAACAUUACACUUCUGGAGCAUCACUAAAACCAAGUACAACAUCCCUGAAAAGUGAAACAUGGUCAGGAAGGAGCAACUGUCAGUUAACUUCAGGACAAAAGGAUUACACCAUGAAUCCAUGCAAGACUUAGCCAAGGCAAUUACAGGCAUCACUAACAAGAUCUGAACAGCCUCUGACACACAGAUCAAUUUAGAAAUAGAAUGCUAAGGUAACAUCCUGCCCCCAUCCACACAAAUAAAACCACCACACCUGCCCA
rnacentral:lncRNA from 1 species